rnacentral:lncRNA from 1 species
AAUAGAUUGCAAUUCAAGUUCGAUGAUGAUGAACUUAUUGUAAACAAUCGAACAACAAUCCAAACCGAUGCACCGGACUACAUGUAAACAUUCAUAAAGGUUUGACAAGCAACGAAUAGACGUGUCUAUUCCAAGCAGCAUUCAUAAACCUAUGCGUUGCAUCUUUUACGGAACCGUCAUGUCUAUUCCGUAACAUCCUUCGGUGAUAGGGAUCAUUAGGGUCAUCAAAUUGGUACCAGCGCAAAGGUUGUGAAGAAUGGAUCAAGAAGAAGAACACGAUUAGGAGGGGAGGUUGUGUCGUUUCGAUUACCGAUCAUAUAAGAAGAAGGAAAGAAAUCAGGGAGACCGAUUCGGUUGUUAAAAUCCCAAAGCUUUGUUGAACGCAUCAAGAAGUGCGUUGAUAUGAUUUUAAUGUAUUAGUCUAUUUAAACUACGAUGUUGUUGCCAAAAAUUGUGAUUGAUUUCUAGAAAACUGCUUUUGAUCCGAAAGAAAUGAUUGUGCAAGAAUUCGUUGUGUUUUGUGAUAAAUAAAUUGCAAUUACAAAUGUGCGUUGAUAAUAUAUUUAUGUAUUAAUCUAUUUGAACGAUGCCGAUGUUGCUAUUUGAACGAUGGCGAUGGAAAUGAUUUCCGAAAUGAUUUCAUAUGAAUAUUGA